GCGAGUGAAGCGGCAACAGCUCAAAUUUGAAAUCUGGCUCCUUUGGGGUCCGAGUUGUAAUUUGUAGAGGGUGCUUUGGCGUUGGUUGUGGUCUAAGUUCCUUGGAACAGGACGUCACAGAGGGUGAGAAUCCCGUACGUGGCCGCCAGCCUUCACCGUGUAAAGCCCCUUCGAUGAGUCGAGUUGUUUGGGAAUGCAGCUCUAAAUGGGAGGUAAAUUUCUCCUAAAGCUAAAUAUUUGCCAGAGACCGAUAGCGCACAAGUAGAGUGAUCGAAAGAUGAAAAGCACUUUGGAAAGAGAGUCAAAAAGCACGUGAAAUUGUUGAAAGGGAAGCGCUUGCAGCUAGACGUGCCUUGGGUUGAUCAGCCGGACUUUUGCCCGGUGCACUCUUCCUUUGGCAGGCCAGCAUCAGUUUGGGCGGCUGGAUAAAGGUCUGUUAAACGUGACUUCCUUCGGGAAGAGCUUAUAGGGCAGACGACAUGCAGCCAGCCUGAACUGAGGUCCGCGCAUCUGCUAGGAUGCUGGCAUAAUAGCUGUAAGCGGCCCGUCUUGAAACACGGACCAAGGAGUCUAACAUCUAUGCGAGUGUUUGGGUGUCAAGCCCGAGCGCGUAAUGAAAGUAAACGGAGGUGGGAACCUUUUAGGUGCACCAUCGACCGAUCUUGAUGUCUUCGGAUGGAUUUGAGUAAGAGCAUAGCUGUUGGGACCCGAAAGAUGGUGAACUAUGCCUGAAUAGGGUGAAGCCAGAGGAAACUCUGGUGGAGGCUCGCAGCGGUUCUGACGUGCAAAUCGAUCGUCAAAUUUGGGCAUAGGGGCGAAAGACUAAUCG
rnacentral:rRNA from 1 species